AUACGGAGGGUGCAAGCGUUAAUCGGAAUUACUGGGCGUAAAGCGUACGUAGGCGGUCCGUUAAGUUAGAUGUGAAAGCCCCGGGCUUAACCUGGGAACUGCAUUUAAAACUGGCGAACUAGAGUUGAGUAGAGGGGAGUGGAAUUUCAGGUGUAGCGGUGAAAUGCGUAGAGAUCUGAAGGAACACCAGUGGCGAAGGCGACUCCCUGGACUCGAACUGACGCUGAGGUACGAAAGCGUGGGUAGCAAACGGGAUUAGAAACCCGAGUAGUCC
rnacentral:rRNA from 1 species